CACAUUAUUAAAACAGAAAUAAAAUAUAAGUUUGGAAAGAUUUAACCGAGAGAGAAGGCAGCUUGCUCCUUCUGUUUUUCUCCCCGCUGGCGCUGCUCUCUGUUUUUCUGUGCCGCAAGGCAGCUGUUCCUCUCUUCUCUUUCUCGCUGCAAAGGCAGCUUUUGCUUCUCUCACUCGCGGUCUCAGUGCUCUCUCCCCACUCUGUUUUAUAUUGUUUCUUCUCCGCUUGCUGUCAGUCUUUACCUUUUCUUUCUUUUCUUUUAUUCUUCCAUCAUGCAUUCCUUUUUUCUUCCACCUGCCUUCCUCUUCUCUUAUCCCGCACUCUUCUCUGUCCAUUAGAAUAUUGCCAUCCCACUCACAGCUGCUUUGCUACUUUUCAAGCCGCCUCCACCAACUUCCUCUAUAUUUUUUAUGCGCUCCAUUAUUUUUCUAGUGGUCCACCCGUGUUCCACUUUUCUGUUUAUUAUUUAAAACUCAUUUGUGCUAUUUUUAUUUUCUUUGCAUAACAGAUCCUAAAAACACAAAAAUAACGCAAAUAGCUCAAAAAUAUAAGGAACUAAUCAAGAAAAGACGAGUGAAUUUGAAGUAAAAAUAUAUAUAAAUAUGAUCUGAUCAAAUACCCCCAUACUUAGCUUUUGCUAGUCCUCGAGCAAAACAAAGAAAACAUGAAAAAGUACUAACAUGAAAAACAUUAGUUUCCCCCUAUGUGACCCUCAUAGAAUUUCAUUCAAGAAAACAAAUCAUCAAGAACCAUAGCUAGCACCAAACAAACUAAUCCAAGUUCAUCUUCCUUAUUCAAAUAUUAGCAGUAAUCUUUGAAUCAUCCUUGAAGUGUAGUGUGUGAGAUAGCCAUGCUAAUGCAAUUUCAAAAUUCUAUUUUUUUUUUUUAAAUCACCAUAUGCAAACUAGCAACCUUCUCACGGGAUAUACACUCAAUCACACAUGUGUUUAGUUUUAAUGUGUUUCGCUCAAAAAAAUCAAAUGUGAAAUUUCUACCAUAAGCUUGCAUAAAGAUCACUUCUCCACAGUCAUAAUUGCAAAACUUAAAUCAAGAGGACUUUUAUUGGAUGUAAUGAGGUUUAGGGAUAGGGUUAUUGAAACGAAAGAAUAGGAAAACACAAGUUCCAAGCUACAUUGCAAGCAAUUCUUUUCUUUAGAUUUAUAAGAACUCAAGCUCUCCAGCAAUUCUUCUAGCACCUCCAACCACACCCUUAAACUGAAACUUUAAAAACUUUUUAUUUUCUUUGUAUACAAUCUUUCUUUUUCUUUUUCUUUUCUCUUCUUUUUUUUUUUUUUUUUAAUCCAAACAUGAAAUACCCCCACACUUAUUCUUUUGCCAAACACCUUCAAAGUACUUCACAAACAUUUCUCAUAAGACAAUCUCACAUUGCUCACUAGCUCGCCUUGGAAAGGGUAAGGAAAAAUGUUUCAGGUAUAAGGGUAGACAUAUUUAGUGAUAAGAAAUAAAAGGCUCAACAAAUACGGCUCAAAUUGGCAAUCUAAUGAUAUCAUUUUUCUUUGGGAAACAUGGUUAUUUGGGCCAUAAUGGUAAACCUAAUGCCUAUAUCAUUUCCAAGUUCAUGCAAUCAAUGACAAACAUUUCGAAAGAUCGUUACGCAAGUUCUAGAGAUGUAUCUCACAUAAGUUCAUCACACAUAAAAAAAAAUAGGAGUGUAUGAAAAAUGCACACACUUUCAAUAGGCUCAAAAACUCACAUAGGAUGUAUAUGGUCACUAAAUUCACAUAUGAAGCUUUAAGUCAUGCUUUAGUUCCACAUCAACAAGGCUAUGUGCAUUUGGUUUUUCAAAGAUGAUCAAACAUGUACAAAA
rnacentral:lncRNA from 1 species